rnacentral:rRNA from 1 species
AUUGAACGCUGGCGGCAGGCCUAACACAUGCAAGUCGAGCGGCAGCGGAAAGUAGCUUGCUACUUUGCCGGCGAGCGGCGGACGGGUGAGUAAUGUCUGGGAAACUGCCUGAUGGAGGGGGAUAACUACUGGAAACGGUAGCUAAUACCGCAUAACGUCGCAAGACCAAAGAGGGGGACCUUCGGGCCUCUUGCCAUCAGAUGUGCCCAGAUGGGAUUAGCUAGUAGGUGGGGUAACGGCUCACCUAGGCGACGAUCCCUAGCUGGUCUGAGAGGAUGACCAGCCACACUGGAACUGAGACACGGUCCAGACUCCUACGGGAGGCAGCAGUGGGGAAUAUUGCACAAUGGGCGCAAGCCUGAUGCAGCCAUGCCGCGUGUAUGAAGAAGGCCUUCGGGUUGUAAAGUACUUUCAGCGGGGAGGAAGGUGUUGUGGUUAAUAACCACAGCAAUUGACGUUACCCGCAGAAGAAGCACCGGCUAACUCCGUGCCAGCAGCCGCAGUAA